rnacentral:rRNA from 1 species
CCCUUAGAUGUUCUGGGCCGCACGCGUGCUACACUGAGUGGAUCAGCGGGUCAGGUUGCGCGAAAGCGUUUCCUAAUCUUUAAAUCCGCUCGUGAUGGGGAUUGACGGUUGCAAUUUUCUGUCAUGAACGAGGAAUACCUUGUAAGCGCGGGUCAUCAUCCCGCGCUGAAUACGUCCCUGCCCUUUGUACACACUGCCCGUCGCUCCUACCGAUUGAGUGGUCCGGUGAGGCUUUGGGAUCUGAGCGGAAAGAGCGUUUCGCUGUUUCUGCCCGGAAAACUCAGUCGAACCUUAUCAUUUAGAGGAAGGAGAAGUCGUAACA